rnacentral:antisense_RNA from 1 species
CUCCUGGAACGGGCACUGGUCUUCUUCAUCAUCUCAGGGGUAGAUUUUCCUAAGUAGUGCUCAUCAACACCAGGUUUAUUUUAAAAUAGAGCAUGCUUAAUGUCCUUCACAUGUCUGCAAGGGCAAGAGCAGCAAAUACCACACUCCCAUGACAGCAAAGCUCCCUUUGGAUGACAUAGAUUUAUUACUUAGUAGUAUAUCAUGUAUUGGCCGUCCCACAUUUUGAAAUUUAAUGGACUCGUGGUGAUCAGAAGAAAAGAAGCCUUCGAUGUGAGGCCCAGGCAUUGAGUACCAUGUGUGCGAUUCAUGAGCCUUGGCAUCUGAACAGGUUUUUGGAAGGAUCCAUCAAGACAACACAUCGGGGGCGUACUAGUGAAGUGAUUUUCAAAAUGUGCUACUCAGACCUGUAGCAUCAGCAUCACUGGAUAAUUUGUUAGAAAUUCCAACUGUUAGGCCCCACUUUACACCAACUGAAUGUGAAACUGGGAGUAUGUGGGGCCCAGCAAUUUGUGUUUUUACAAGACUUACCAGGUGAUUCUGAGAACCACUGUGCUAGUGAAUUGUUCCUGUCUGUGGCCACGUAGAAUAACAAAAGUAUAGGGUUGGAAAAUGGGGAAAUUGAUGAGUGUUCACUUAUGAGGAAAUGAAGAAUAGAUAGAAAAGAAUUAGUUAACUUUUGGAAUUCGAAAAAGAAGCAAUUUGUAAAGCCAGGAAUUUGAUUUGAAGGACUAAUUGCUUGCAGAAUCUUUGCUUUCUCAUAGAGGGGCAAUCCAGAUCACUAGGUUACCGUGAAAUAUAUUGGUAUGGCUCUAAAAUUCUAGAAUAAUCUCUCUAGUGAGAAAAGGCAUACCUUUCCAUAUUAGGACAAAACUUCAAGUCAGGUUUGUAAAAUCCUAUAAGAUUAUUGUAUCCUAUUGCCAUGCCCAACUUGUUUGUCUCUGGAGGUCCCAGUUUCUACAUCUGAAAACCAUAUGCAUUUCUGCUCACCAGGAAUUGUCUCGCUGAAUGAAGCAAGAGAUUCAGGAUGUGUAAGAGAAUUUAUGAAGCAUUUGGAUUACCAAGAAAUGUGAAGUAUAAAGAUCAAGAAUUAUUAAUACAAACACUGAUGGUAAAGAGGUGUUUCGAAGUCGAUACAAAAAAUGAGUUGCUUAUUUCAGUCUCUCUUUGAUAUAUCUGCCUUUUUAGUGCUGACUCUAUCAUGUAUUCACUAUUUGAUUUUAAGUGAAUCACAUUUUUUAAAGCUUUUCAUCUGUUUCCUCCAAAAAUAUAUUUUUAAUAAUAUUUACUCACAGGAUUGUUGUGAGAAUAAAAUUGAUUCAAUUGAUUUGCCAAAAAAAAAAGGAAAUAUAUUUUAAAAAAAUAAAGCAGUACCAUUUUUGGAUAUGCUA